CUUUGAUUAUCUCCCACUGUGGUUCGAGCGGGAACAGACUCGAUCAACCUACAACUGUACUUCACAACUGCGGUUGUGUGUUUGUCCAACGUAUUGCAGCACUUGCAUCGCUCUCCAACCCAUCUGGCGACACCCUUGCUCACCAACCAUGGACGAGAUCUCCGCAAAGCUUCGCAAUCCCUGCCAGAGCUGAGGCCUAACACCUGAAUGCUAUUCCCCGCACCCCCUAAGAUGUGGCACAGCUACGACUGCAGCUCUCCAUCAUCCAUGCUACUCAUGCUAUGUCAGACACCACAUCACACUGUUGACUCGAAACUUUGAAGCAUUUUUCAAUGUAGUUCAAUACGUCCACAAAGUCCUUCUGAUUUUUGAUAGAUGGAGUAUUACAGGAGUAUUCACUGUCUCUGCUCCAUCACCAGGUUCUUGUGAACAAACUGUUCACACACAUUUCCGGUUUUGUCCCCUUUACCUCUACCACAUGAAGCGCUUUUAGUUUUUGUUUUGUGCGCUUCUGACUUUACAAGCUCAUCUAUUUCCUUCAGCAGAUCAUCAAUUUGAUCACUUUUCAUUCCUAUAGUAUUGCUGAGGUAGUCCCUGUGUAGAGAUGUGAGGGCUGGUCCUGUCACCUUCUCAUCCUCAAGUUUUGCACAUUUCUUUUAUUCCAAUGCAUCUCAACCAGGAGCUGACGCGAGAUUCAGUCCAGCAGUCGUAGGGCAGCUUGCACCAUUCUGUGAAAUAAAGUUGUGUGGCUUAAAAAUAGCACUUUAAUGUGACAAACCUCUGUAAUUAUACGGGAUAGAAAGUAUCUAGGACUCUUGAGUAGCUAUGGAUUGUGUGAAUAGUCAUAAAGAGGCAUAUUGUCAGGUCUUAUUUAUUUAUUUUAGAAGUGGAUUUAUAAGGGGAUUGUAUUUUCUGUAACUGCAACCUAUACCAGCCCUUAUUUACACUGUUGUGAUGUCAUGUAACAUUUCAUACUCACCCAUCUCUGAGGAUCUGCUUUCCAUUUUUAUGAAUCUUCCUAAGGACAGUAAAAGAUGAAGCUUUAGUAUUUGUUUUCACUUUGUUUUGUGACGCACUGACAUAUACACACUAAAAAUAACACUUACCAUGUGCACCACGAGACUUGAACACUUGUGUUCUUCUCGAUCAGGUAUCGGUCUUUGUGUUUCUGUUGGAGACAAAGCAGCUUUAGCACAAAUGGCACUUAUAGCACUUGGUAGUUUGGCUUUCUUGAAGAAAAUUGUACUUUCUUGACUCUUGU